CCUACGGGUGGCAGCAGUGAGGAAUAUUGGUCAAUGGACGAGAGUCUGAACCAGCCAAGUAGCGUGAAGGAUGACUGCCCUAUGGGUUGUAAACUUCUUUUAUAUGGGAAUAAAACGUUCCACGUGUGGGAUUUUGUAUGUACCAUAUGAAUAAGGAUCGGCUAACUCCGUGCCAGCAGCCGCGGUAAUAAGGAGGAUUCGAGCGUUUUCCGGAUUUAUUGGGUUUAAAGGGAGCGUAGGUGGAUUGUUAAGUCAGUUGUGAAAGUUUGCGGCUCAACCGUAAAAUUGCAGUUGAAACUGGCAGUCUUGAGUACAGUAGAGGUGGGCGGAAUUCGUGGUGUAGCGGUGAAAUGCUUAGAUAUCACGAAGAACUCCGAUUGCGAAGGCAGUUCACUGGACUGCAACUGACACUGAGGCUCGAAAGUGUGGGUAUCAAACAGGAUUAGAUACCCCUGUAGUC
rnacentral:rRNA from 1 species